rnacentral:ncRNA from 1 species
AAAUAAUGCCUUCUCCGAGCCUGCCUGCCUGCGGGGAUAACUGGUAUCCCAUGGCGUCAGGCCAAUGGGUUUUGCUGGAAACGGCAAGGCCUCCCUUUGGAAAGGAGAAUUAUCGUGGUUCGC